rnacentral:tRNA from 1 species
UUAAUUGAAACCAAAGAGAGGUAUAUCACUGUUAAUGAUAAAAUUGAGAAGUCUCCAAUUAAA